UUUGGGCAACUUCAGAGACUGCAACAGAAAAUAUGGAAGAAUACAGUCAUAUUUUCUGUUGCAGUCUCUGAAGUUGCCCAAAUG